rnacentral:rRNA from 1 species
UACGAAGGGGGCUAGCGUUGCUCGGAAUCACUGGGCGUAAAGGGUGCGUAGGCGGGUCUUUAAGUCAGGGGUGAAAUCCUGGAGCUCAACUCCAGAACUGCCUUUGAUACUGAAGUAUCUUGAGUUCGGGAGAGGUGAGUGGAACUGCGAGUGUAGAGGUGAAAUUCGUAGAUAUUCGCAAGAACACCAGUGGCGAAGGCGGCUCACUGGCCCGAUACUGACGCUGAG